rnacentral:lncRNA from 1 species
UUAUGAUUAUGUUUUUCUACACUUUUAAUAAUCUCUUGCCUUUGACACUCCCUUUUUUUUUUUCCUAAUAAAAAAUUUAGGCCAAUUGUGGUGGCUCACGCCUGUAAUCCUAAUACUUUGGAAGGCCAAGGUGGGUGGAUCAGAAGGUCAGAAGAUCGAGACCAUCCUGGCCAACAUGGUGAAACCCCGUCCCUACUGAAAUACAAAAAAAAAAAAAAAAAAUUAGCCGGGUACGGUGGCACACGCCUGUAGUCCCAGCUGCUUGGGAGGCUGAGGCAGGGGGACUCACUUGAACCCUGGAGGCAGAGGUUGCACUGAGCCGAGAUUGCACCACUGCAUUCCAGCCUGGCAACAGAAUGAGACUCCGUGUCAAAAAAAAAAAAAAAAGAUUUGUAUUUACUUUGAAGCAUUCGGAAGGUCAACAAAACAACUGCAACAUUUUUUUUUUUUGCAAUUGCAAAGUGGUAUUUAGUUACAGAACAAUUAUUUUGUAUAAGCUGCAUCAGAGACAACUGAAGAUGAAAAAACCACCAUUCCCAUACAUAGCUAAUUUGUGCUAUGCACCAAGAAGAACCUGCUUUAAAUUUCCAUGCCAAUUUACAACCACCACCACCGCCCCCCCACCAACACCGUACAAAGCAAGGUCUCUACGAAUCAUAGAAAUAAAAGCAAAUGGAAUCUUAUCAGAUAAGUGCUUUUACAAGUCUGUAAAUAUAUUUUAUUCUUUGGAAUCUCUAAAGCAAAACUUCUUUAAAACUUUUUUUUUUUUUUUUUUUUUAGGUAUCAGCAUCAAGAUGAUUUAUGGUAAUAAGGUACUCAGUGUUGCUUAA